rnacentral:rRNA from 1 species
GAUGAACGCUGGCGGCGUGCCUAAUACAUGCAAGUCGAGCGAACGGACGAGAAGCUUGCUUCUCUGAUGUUAGCGGCGGACGGGUGAGUAACACGUGGAUACCCUACCUAUAAGACUGGGAUAACUUCGGGAAACCGGCGCUAAUACCGGAUAAUAUUUUGAACCGCAUGGUUCAAAAGUGAAAGACGGUCUUGCUGUCACUUAUAGAUGGAUCCGCGCUGCAUUAGCUAGUUGGUAAGGUAACGGCUUACCAAGGCAACGAUGCAUAGCCGACCUGAGAGAGUGAUCGGCCACACGGGAACUGAGACAGGGUCCAGACUCCUACGGGAGGCAGCAGUAGGGAAUCUUCCGCAAUGGGCGAAAGCCUGACGGAGCAGCGCCGCGUGAGUUAUGGAGGUCUUCGGAUCGUAAAACUCUGUUAUUAGGGAAGAACAUAUGUGUAAGUAACUGUGCACAGCGUGACGGUACCUAAUCAGAAAGCCACGGCUAACUACGUG